UACGGAGGGUGCAAGCGUUGUCCGGAUUUAUUGGGCUUAAAGGGUGCGUAGGCGGGGUCUCAAGUCUGGUUUGAAAGUUAGCUGCUCAACAGUUAGACGUGGCUGGAAACUGGGGUUCUGGAAUGGGUGGGCGGCUGCCGGAACGGGUCAUGUAGCGGUGAAAUGCAUAGAUAUGACCCAGAACACCGAUUGCGAAGGCAGCCAGCUUCGACCUGAUUGACGCUGAGGCACGAGAGCAUGGGUAGCGAACAGG
rnacentral:rRNA from 1 species